rnacentral:rRNA from 1 species
GCGCGAAAACUUUACAAUGCGGGAAACCGUGAUAAGGGGACACCGAGUGCUAGCAUCAUAUGCUGGCUGUCCAGGUGUGUAAAAUACACCUGUUAGCAAGGGCCGGGCAAGACCGGUGCCAGCCGCCGCGGUAACACCGGCGGCCCGAGUGGUGAUCGUGAUUAUUGGGUCUAAAGGGUCCGUAGCCGGUUUGGUCAGUCCUCCGGGAAAUCUGACAGCUCAACUGUUAGGCUUUCGGGGGAUACUGCCAGGCUUGGAACCGGGAGAGGUAAGAGGUACUACAGGGGUAGGAGUGAAAUCUUGUAAUCCCUGUGGGACCACCUGUGGCGAAGGCGUCUUACCAGAACGGGUUCGACGGUGAGGGACGAAAGCUGGGGGCACGAACCG